rnacentral:rRNA from 1 species
AUUGAACGCUGGCGGCAUGCCUUACACAUGCAAGUCGAGCGCGAAAGGGGGCAACCCCGAGUAGAGCGGCGGACGGGUGAGUAACGCAUCGGAACGUGCCCCAGUAGUGGGGGACAAACCUCGAGAAAAUCGAGGCUAAUACCGCAUACGACCCACGGGUGAAAGCGGGGGACCGCAAGGCCUCGCGCUAUUGGAGCGGCCGAUGUCCGAUUAGCUAGUUGGCGGGGUAAGAGCCCACCAAGGCGACGAUCGGUAGCUGGUCUGAGAGGACGACCAGCCACACUGGGACUGAGACACGGCCCAGACUCCUACGGGAGGCAGCAGUGGGGAAUUUUGGACAAUGGGGGCAACCCUGAUCCAGCCAUGCCGCGUGCGGGAAGAAGCCUCGG